rnacentral:rRNA from 1 species
CCUACGGGGUGCUGCAGUGGGGAAUAUUGGACAAUGGGGGAAAGCCUGAUGCAGCGAAGCAGCGUGAGUGAAGAAGGAUUUCGGUAUGGAAAGCUCUAUCAGCAGGGAAGAAAAUGACGUUACGUGAGUAAGUAGCCACGGCUAACUACGUUCCAGCCGCCGCGGUAAUACGGAGGGGGCCAGCGUUAUCCGGAUUUACUGGGUGUAAAGGGAGCGUAGAGGGCAGCACAAGUCUGGAGUGAAAUGCCGGGGCUUAACCCUGGAACUGCUUUGGAAACUGGGCAGCUAGAGUGCAGGUGAGGUAAGCGGAAUUCGUAGUGUAGCGGUGAAAUGCGUAGAUAUUAGGAGGAACUCCAGUGGCGAAGGCAGCUUACUGGACUGCAACUGACGUUGAGGCUCGAAAGCGUGGGGAGCAAACAGGAUUAGAUACCCUUGUAGUC